rnacentral:rRNA from 1 species
AUUGAACGCUGGCGGCAGGCCUAACACAUGCAAUUCGCGCGGAGCGGCGGACGGGUGAGUAAUGCCUAGGAAUCUGCCUGGUAGUGGGGGAUAACGUCCGGAAACGGGCGCUAAUACCGCAUACUAUCAGAUGAGCCUAGGUCGGAUUAGCUAGUUGGUGGGGUAAAGGCCGACCAAGGCGACGAUCCGUAACUGGUCUGAGAGGAUGAGCAGUCACACUGGAACUGAGGCACGGUCCAGAAUCCGAAGGGAGGCAGCAGUGGGGAAUAUUGGACAAUGGGAGAAAGCGGGAUACAGCCAUGCCGCGUGUGUGAAGAAGGUCUUCGGAGUGUAAAGCACUUUAAGUUGGGAGGCGGUACCAACAGAAUAAGCACCGGCUAACUUCGUGCGAGCGGCCGCGGUAAUAC